UACGAAGGGGGGCUAGCGUUGCUCGGAAUCACUGGGCGUAAAGCGCACGUAGGCGGCUUCUUAAGUCAGGGGUGAAAUCCUGGAGCUCAACUCCAGAACUGCCUUUGAUACUGAAGAUCUUGAGUUCGGGAGAGGUGAGUGGAACUGCGAGUGUAGAGGUGAAAUUCGUAGAUAUUCGCAAGAACACCAGUGGCGAAGGCGGCUCACUGGCCCGAUACUGACGCUGAGGCACGAAAGCGUGGGGAGCAAACGGGG
rnacentral:rRNA from 1 species